GAUGAACGCUAGCUACAGGCUUAACACAUGCAAGUCGAGGGGAAACGACAUCGUAAGCUUGCUUUUGAUGGGCGUCGACCGGCGCACGGGUGAGUAACGCGUAUCCCACCUGCCCAUCACUUGGGGAUAACCUUGCGAAAGUAAGACUAAUACCCAAUGAUAUCUCUAGAAGACAUCUGAAAGAGAUUAAAGAUUUAUCGGUGAUGGAUGGGGAUGCGUCUGAUUAGAUUGUUGGCGGGGUAACGGCCCACCAAGGCAACGAUCAGUAGGGGUUCUGAGAGGGGGACGGGUAAAAGUGGGACUGAAAGACGGCACAGACGAGUAAGGGAGGCAGCAGAGGGGAAUAUUGCAGGAUGGGGUGAAGUAUGAUGAAGUAAUGCUGCGUGCGGGAUGAUGGAUGUAGGGGUGUAAAGAGGAUUAGCAGGUUAUGUAGGGUGAGGGACGGGAAUGGGUAAAGAAGGAACGGCUAACUACGUG
rnacentral:rRNA from 1 species